UGUUCCUGCCCCUCUGUCCCUCCCCUGCGGCUGUUGCAAAGAGGCCCGGUGGGCUGGGGGCAGGCGAGGGAGGGGAAGGGGAAUGGGCAGUGUGGGGGAGGGCAGCAACGGGUGGGCAGGGCCUUGAAUCAGCGCAGGCUGAGAGUUCACUUUCUGCACUGUGCCCCCAGCUGCCAAGGGGCCAGAUGAAGCCCAGCGCCUCCGUGAAUCCUGGCUGAAUGCUGGGAAUGGUCCCCCUCACACAGAUAAGGAGAGUCCUUCUCUCACCCUUCGUGGCAAUGGAGAACCCAGCCCCUGCUGGCUGACGGGGCACAGGCAGCCGAGCCGGGCGGCGUUGGCGAGGAGGGGUACCGCAGCGCCGGCUCCUGGAGACGUUCUCUGCUUAGGACCAGGGCCGGUGCAACCACUAGGCGAACGAGGCGGUCGCCUAGGGCGCCAAGUGGUUGGGGGCGGCGGUGGAGCGGAGGACAGUGCACUGUGUGCGCACUGUGCAGCCUCCACGCUGGAGUCGUUACUCUCCGUCCUCGCAGCCCGAAUGGAAUUACAUGUCACAGCCCUGGAGCGGGAAAUGCCGAAGAAACCCACCGCAGGAGCAUCGAA